CACCGCCCGUCACAUCACGAAAAGUGGGUUGUACUAGAAGUCUGCGGCCUGACCCGCAAGGGGAGGAGCGGCCCAAGGUAUGACUCAUGAUUGGGGUG
rnacentral:rRNA from 1 species